GAUGAAGGAAAAGGAAAAGAAAUCAGCAGAAAAGAAAAGUUCAGCAGUAAGGUUGAAGAGGUCCUAGUUGUCCUUGACCGGCUUUGCCCCAAGAUUUUCCGCCGUAACCGACUUCUCUGGAUUGUUUUGACGUUAUUCCUGGUCACGUUUCUGGUCGUCAAUGUUUUCACAUACUUUAGUGAUCGCUAUAACAACCAUGGGGACAUGUCGGCAGAAAAAGCCAUGGUCCAGGGCAAGAAGAAGAUCUUUGAACUGAAUGUAGGAGUACAGCCAAAGAAUCCCACUCCAGAAUAACAAAGAGCCUGUCUCAUACUUCUCUCAGUCCACAGACAAUUUUUCCCAUGAUACAUCACCAUACAAGAGCUGAACUUGAAUACAGGGUUUCGAAGGGUUUGGGGAUGUAUCUUUGGGAGUGUUUAUUGAGUUUUUUAUUGGUUUCAGAGGAUAAGCCUUCUAAUGAUCAUAAACUUUAUCAAGGCAUAUUUAUGUUGUGUUAGGAAAGCUGCCCAAGUGUUUGUGAUGGUGAUAUAUGAUUGUUGCUUAGGGGGCCAAGUAUAAUAGUGUGAUGAAAUAUUUUCUUAUGUAAGAGAUCCAGGACUUUGGAUUUUAAAUUAUACAAUGACUAUGAGGUUAAAAUGCAGACUGUCAGCUUUAAUAUGAGGGCAUUUUCAUCCAUACCAGGUGAACUGUUUAGAAAUUACAACACUUUUUGUACACAGUCCCCCCAUUUCAGGGAGCCAAAAGGUUUUGGACAAAUUCACUUCUAUGUGUAUUAUAGAAGUCCAAAGUGUAGUAUUCGGCAUAUGACUCUACUAAUCUUUUGGAUGCAUUCACAAUUUGUUUCGGUUGUGUUUCAGAUUAUUUUGUGCCCAAUAGAAAUUAAUGGUAAAUAAUGUAUUGUGUCAUUUUGAUGUUGUAAAUAAGAAUAUAAUAUUAUAAUAUAUGCUAUUAAUAUAAUAACUCUUCUACUUUAAUGUGGAUGUUAGCAUGAUUGCGGAUAAUCCUGAAUGACACAAUGAACAGAAUGAACAGGUAGGAUUAGCAUUUUGGGGGUAUGAUAUUUAUACCUCAGUAACUUUCACACUCAUCAUUAUUCACGAUUCAUUCAUAAUUUUCCGUAAUCAUGGUAGCAUCCACAUUAAUUUAAAAGUUUUUAGAAACAUGUUCUAUUAUUAUUUACAAUAAAAUUUACUCCAAAAUACACAAUACAUUAUUUACCGGACUAUGUACACAAAGUGCUGUAAUUUUUAAUGGAUGAAAAAUGGAUGAAAAUACCCUCAAACCAAAGCUGACAAUUUGCACUUUAUAGUCCUUGUAUCAUUUCAAAUCCAAAGUGCUGAAGUACAGAGCCAAAAAUAUAUAUAUAUAUUUGUCAUUGUCCAAAUACUUUUGGACCUCACUGUAUAUAUUCACAAUGUAUUGUUAUUAUUCAUUGUCCUACUCUGAAUGUCAUCCUGGAGGACUGAAUGUGGCCCCUUGGGUGAAGAUGGAUGAUUCCUGAUGAGUUCCCUAAGACAAAUGUCCCAGUAGACAUUAGACUAAUGUACAUUCAUCUACCACUCUGUUACUUUAUGUUCAUUCUCUCAGGUCCAGUAAGAGGACAUCCCCUGAAGAGAUUUACGGAGAGAUUUAAAGAGAUAGAUAUGUUUUUUAAUCUUUAGUAAAAUAUCUAUAUUUGUGGUAUUUAAGCAGAUACUAUUUUGGAUAAUCAAUAAUAUAAGCACAUUCCAAAGUAGUUCCUCAAGUGCAAUAUUUAGCAGCUGAUGGUUCUUGUUUGUUUGUGUUGUUACUGUGUUGGUUUGCGCCCUCCGAGCACUGAAAGAUUUCCUUAAUGUACGAGAGCACUUUUAGACAGCCUGAGAAAUCUUCUCCCCACAUGCGUGCCAGGGUUUUCUGUUGUGUCAUUUUCGCCUUGAAAUAAAGGUGCCUUAAAACUCGCAGCAUUCAUUUCCAUAGUGAAUAAUGUAUGUCAGACAGACAGGUGCAGUUUCCAUGAAGCAAACAGGUGUGUUGGCAGAGUUCUCAUGCUAACCUCCCAAAUCAGUCGCUUCCUUGGAGGAAUGAGUGACACAGUAAUUGUAUUUUUCAGCACAGCGCUUGUUCUCUUCCUCCCUGCACUUAUGAAAAUGAAAGAUCUUUUGAACCUUUCAUAUCUCUCAGGAAACCACUUAUGUAAUCUACUUGGCUCCAUUAAGCUGUAGCUGCAGUGUGUCAAGGCUGCUUGAGUGAUUCUCUCUAUUUUAAUAUUAAAUUCAUGUCACAAAAUAAAAUAUAAAUGUUCUCUUUAGAUGUCAUUUUUUGGGGGGGAUGUUUAAAUGUCACUGAUUCUUCUCAUACAGCAAACAACUACUUUUGCUUAUUUUUCAGUUCUGCCUGCGUCAUUUCCUGCUGUACUAGGUUGGGGUGAGGUGUUUGCUGGAAGUGGGAUUUCGCUGUGUGUCAGAGUCACAUCAGAGGAUGCCAGGGAUCAUGAGCUUGUUAAUGACUAAGCAAUGGGCAGAUGGAGGAAAUCAUUGUGUGAGGUGCCAAAGCCAAUAAAAAUAAACAAUUUUCCCAACAUC